rnacentral:misc_RNA from 1 species
GAUGAAGAACGUAGCGAAAUGCGAUAAGUAGUGUGAAUUGCAGAAUUCAGUGAAUCAUCGAAUCUUUGAACGCACAUUGCGCCUCCUGGUAUUCCGGGAGGCAUGCCUGUUCGAGCGUCAUUAAAAUCACUCAAGCUUAGGUUUACCUAUUGCUUGGUCUUGGAGAUGGAAGCCAAUUUAUUGGAAUCCUCUUCGAAAUUCAAUGGCGAAGACCCUUGCUCUCCCAAGUGUAGUAAUAACUUAUGUCACUGAAGGAAGCGAGAAAUCUUCUGCCGUAACCCCCAUAUUUUCUAUGAUUGACCUCGGAUCAGGUAGGGAUACCCGCUGAACUUAAGCAUAUCAAUAAGCGGGGA